rnacentral:rRNA from 1 species
UACGGGGGGGGCAAGCGUUGUUCGGAAUUACUGGGCGUAAAGGGCUCGUAGGUGGCCAACUAAGUCAGACGUGAAAUCCCCAGGCUCAACCUGGGAACUGCAUCCGAUACUGGAUGGCUUGAAUUCGGGAGAGGGAUGCAGAAUUCCAGGUGUAGCGGUGAAAUGCGUAGAUAUCUGGAGGAAUACCGGUGGCGAAGGCGGCAUCCUGGACCGACAUUGACGCUGAGGAGCGAAAGCCAGGGGAGCAAACGGG